rnacentral:rRNA from 1 species
GAUGAACGCUGGCGGCGUGCCUAAUACAUGCAAGUCGAGCGAACAGACGAGGAGCUUGCUCCUCUGACGUUAGCGGCGGACGGGUGAGUAACACGUGGAUAACCUACCUAUAAGACUGGGAUAACUUCGGGAAACCGGAGCUAAUACCGGAUAACAUGUUGAACCGCAUGGUUCAACAGUGAAAGACGGUCUUGCUGUCACUCAUAGAUGGAUCCGCGCCGGAUUAGCUAGGUGGUAAGGUAACGGCUUACCAAGGCAACGAUGCGUAGCCGACCUGAGAGGGUGAUCGGCCAAACUGGAACUGAGACACGGUCCAGACGCCUACGGGAGGCAGCAGUAGGGAAUCUUCCGCAAUGGGCGAAAGCCUGACGGAGCAACGCCGCGUGAGUGAAGAAGGUCUUCGGAUCGUAAAACUCUGUUAUUAGGGAAGAACAAAUGUGUAAGUAACUAUGCAAGUCUUGACGGUACCUAAUCAGAAAGCCACGGCUAACUACGUG